GUAAAUGAAGAGUGUUGCUAUUAAUCCAUAUCCAUGACUCACCCGACAUUUAGGACAAUGCAAGCAAGGCUCAACAGUAUACAGUCGACCUGAAGGCCCAGUGCCAGUGAGAGAAGGACAGUGGAAACAAUACUGAACAUUAUUAUUGCAGAUUUUGUUGCUGUAAAGGUUUCACAGAGGCACGCAAGGGUCCCGAAGUCCCUGGAGCAGGUAACGACGCCGCGUUUGCCGCUCUCACAGGUGCAUUGUUGAAGAUAGAGGCUACAGUGGAGCUGACAAGGCCUGUGCGUGUGGUGCUGGCUUUUAUGGAGAGUUGAUGAGGAUGGUGGCAGACAGGUGUGGUGACUGUGAAGUGUGUGCAGGUGAAAUCCAAGGGGAAUUGUGGGAGAUGUAGUGUGCAGAGAUGACAGGCAAAGUGACUGAUGGUCCUGACAAAUGCACCAGAAUAUUGUUCUACUCCCUAAAAAAAAAGGAACUAAUUGUGUUAGUUACUUUUUGUGGAAAGUACAAAAAAUCACUUUUGCGUUACUUUUUCUCAUCUGGGCUGGGCUUGCUUGUUUGUUUUUAAUAUACAAAAGUUCUGAUUUGGCAAAUGUAAAAGCCCUUUCACACCAAAAAUGACAUGAAUUAGCCUAAAGCUGAAGGAAAUGUCUGUACAAUAGAUAGCGCAGCUCAAACAAAUCUUUCAGCUGUGCUGGAUUGCAUGAAGAAUAGGAUGCAAGAGAAGAAACUUUAACACUCUCCAGCAGUAAAAAAAAAAGCAGAAAAACACACACACACACACACACACACACACACACACACACACACACACACACACACACACACACACACACACACACACAAAAAAACCCCCAAAUGUUUAUAUAAAGUAAAUUUUGCUUACUAGUCAGCAGCAAAGACAUUGGUUAAUAAAAUGGGUUUCAAUACAUAAAGGAUAUUUCCUGAACAUGGGGAAAGGAGAGC
ensembl:lncRNA